rnacentral:rRNA from 1 species
UACGAAGGGGGCUAGCGUUGUUCGGAAUCACUGGGCGUAAAGCGCGCGUAGGCGGACCUGCAAGUCGGGGGUGAAAGCCCGAGGCUCAACCUCGGAACUGCCUUCGAUACUGCGGGUCUCGAGUCCGGGAGAGGUGAGUGGAAUUCCUAGUGUAGAGGUGAAAUUCGUAGAUAUUAGGAAGAACACCAGUGGCGAAGGCGGCUCACUGGCCCGGUACUGACGCUGAGGCGCGAAAGCGUGGGGAGCGAACAGG